AGUGAACGCUGGCGGUAGGCCUAACACAUGCAAGUCGAACGGCAGCACAGAGGAGCUUGCUCCUUGGGUGGCGAGUGGCGGACGGGUGAGGAAUACAUCGGAAUCUACUUUUUCGUGGGGGAUAACGUAGGGAAACUUACGCUAAUACCGCAUACGACCUACGGGUGAAAGCAGGGGACCUUCGGGCCUUGCGCGAUUGAAUGAGCCGAUGUCGGAUUAGCUAGUUGGCGGGGUAAAGGCCCACCAAGGCGACGGUCCGUAGCUGGUCUGAGAGGAUGAUCAGCCACACUGGAGCUGAGACACGGUCCAGACUCCUACGGGAGGCAGCAGUGGGGAAUAUUGGACAAUGGGCGCAAGCCUGAUCCAGCCAUACCGCGUGGGUGAAGAAGGCCUUCGGGUUGUAAAGCCCUUUUGUUGGGAAAGAAAUCCAGCCGGCUAAUACCUGGUUGGGAUGACGGUACCCAAAGAAUAAGCACCGGCUAACUUCGUGCCAGCAGCCGCCGUAA
rnacentral:rRNA from 1 species